AUGCUAGCGAAGGCCAUGCUGAGAUCGAAAACUCAUCAGAGUAGACAAAAUCAAGGUGCGGCAGUAGGCCAGACUUGGGGAAGAAGCGGAUCUCAGAAUUACCAUGCUUGGUGCGUCAAGGAACAAAGCAGAGUGGAGAGAGAUGGCCAGAGAUGGAUUGUGGUUGGAGGGAGGGUAGAAAAGAGAGAGAAAGUAGUCUUUGGGCACAUGUGGGUCAUAUUGUAUAAUUUUAUUUCUUCCAAGUCAUUCUAUCUGGUGACCAUGUACGUUCCCAUUCGAUGGCAGACAUGGAUGGGGUCUGAGGGGUGCAAAGCAAACAGUUUUAGUACCUGA
rnacentral:rRNA from 1 species